rnacentral:tRNA from 1 species
CGGUAAAAUGGCUGAUUAAGGCGGUAAAUUGUAAAUUUAUUAAUGAGUUGUUUUCUUUUACUGA